UACGUAGGGGGCUAGCGUUAUCCGGAAUUACUGGGCGUAAAGGGUGCGUAGGUGGUUUCUUAAGUCAGAGGUGAAAGGCUACGGCUCAACCGUAGUAAGCCUUUGAAACUGAGGAACUUGAGUGCAGGAGAGGAGAGUAGAAUUCCUAGUGUAGCGGUGAAAUGCGUAGAUAUUAGGAGGAAUACCAGUUGCGAAGGCGGCUCUCUGGACUGUAACUGACACUGAGGCACGAAAGCGUGGGGAGCAAACAGGAUUAGAUACCCGCGUAGUCCCUGA
rnacentral:rRNA from 1 species